rnacentral:rRNA from 1 species
GGGCCCGCACAAGCGGAGGAGCAUGUGGUUUAAUUCGAUGAUACGCGAGGAACCUUACCAAGGCUUAAAUGUAAUAUGACCGGUUGAGAGAUCAACCUUUUUUCGAACAGAUUACAAGGUGCUGCAUGGUUGUCGUCAGCUCGUGCCGUGAGGUGUCGGGUUAAGUCCCAUAACGAGCGCAACCCCUAUUUUUAGUUACCAGCGAGUAAUGUCGGGAACUCUAGAAAAACUGCCUGUGCAAACAGAGAGGAAGGUGGGGAUGACGUCAAAUCAUCACGGCCCUUAUGUCUUGGGCUACACACGUGCUACAAUGGUUACUACAAUGUGAUGCCAUCUGGUGACAGAGAGCUAAUCAAUAAAGGUAAUCUCAGUUCGGAUCGGAGUCUGCAACUCGACUCUGUGAAGUUGGAUUCGCUAGUAA